rnacentral:tRNA from 1 species
AUCCUCGUAAUGAGUGACACGUCAAAUUGCAAAUUUGAAAGCGUUCCUAUUUUUGGUUCCGGGGCUU